rnacentral:rRNA from 1 species
CACGUAGGGCGCAAGCGUUGUCCGGAAUUACUGGGCGUAAAGAGCUCGUAGGUGGUUUGUCGCGUUGUUCGUGAAAACUCACAGCUUAACUGUGGGCGUGCGGGCGAUACGGGCAGACUGGAGUACUGCAGGGGAGACUGGAAUUCCUGGUGUAGCGGUGGAAUGCGCAGAUAUCAGGAGGAACACCGGUGGCGAAGGCGGAUCUCUGGGCCUUACCUGACGCUCAGGUGCGAAAGCUAGGGGAGCGAACAGG